rnacentral:rRNA from 1 species
UACGUAGGGUGCGAGCGUUGUCCGGAAUUAUUGGGCGUAAAGGGCUCGUAGGCGGUUUGUCGCGUCGGGAGUGAAAACACUGGGCUUAACUCGGUGCUUGCUUUCGAUACGGGCAGACUAGAGGCAUGCAGGGGAGAACGGAAUUCCUGGUGUAGCGGUGAAAUGCGCAGAUAUCAGGAGGAACACCGGUGGCGGAGGCGGUUCUCUGGGCAUGUCCUGACGCUGAGGAGCGAAAGUGUGGGGAGCGAACAGG